rnacentral:rRNA from 1 species
CCUACGGGAGGCAGCAGUGAGGAAUAUUGGUCAAUGGACGAGAGUCUGAACCAGCCAAGUAGCGUGAAGGAUGACUGCCCUAUGGGUUGUAAACCUCUUUUAUCAAGGAAUAAAACGAGGCACGUGUGCCUUUUUGCAUGUACUUUAUGAAAAAGGAUCGGCUAACUCCGUGCCAGCAGCCGCGGUAAUACGGAGGAUCCGAGCGUUAUCCGGAUUUAUUGGGUUUAAAGGGAGCGUAGGUGGGUUGUUAAGUCAGUUGUGAAAGUUUGCGGCUCAACCGUAAGAUUGCAGUUGAUACUGGCAGUCUUGAGUACGGUUGAGGUAGGCGGAAUGCGUGGUGUAGCGGUGAAAUGCUUAGAUAUCACGAAGAACCCCGAUUGCGAAGGCAGCUUACU